CCGAAGAAAUCUUUUCUUCUAGUGUUGGGAAUAAAUCUGCGAUGAAAAAAGAAAGAUGCCUCUUCAUCACUAUAAUAUCAUCUUUGAUAAAAAGGGGGUCGGCACACAGAUUUUAUAGCUGACACAAUUGUUACAAACCAGGGUAAGCUCCUCCCCCACCCCCGGAGCCUUGUUAUAAUGAGGACUGGACCUGGUAUCACCUUUUCAUAAUCCAAAGGAGGGAUGGAGCCUGCUGAAUGGGAGACGUCACAGGGAUCAUCAGAGCCCCAAAUGCUGUGGAAAUAAUUUCUGACUGUUAUUAGGAGACUUUAUUAGCAAGCUGUUUUUCUCUUGGAAAUGAGGGUUGUGCUUCAAAGAGCCAUUGUCACGCUGCACACAAAGCAACAAUCCCAAUCUCCCCUACCCCAAACUGUCACUUUGCUGAACUAGGGAUGCACCUCUUCCUAAUGCCCACGGUGUCUUCUGAGCUCAGCACAGCACAGUCGUGAUUCUGCAGACAUUGACUCAGAGUGGAGCUACAAAACAUGAAGCUUUCUCUAAGUAAAUAUGGAGCCAGGAGCGAGACUUAAUGGGGAGGAAACAAUAUUCCUGCUGCCGCCUCUUCUCUCCAUGGCUGCAGAUCUCCGCUUAUCAUCCACUGCCAUGCUGGCUCUGUGUGCCUCUUUGAUCUAAGCUUCAGUGAUAUUCUACCAGUUUUCUUGGUGUCAACAUGGGACAAGUUUGGACUAAAAGCUGGAAAAUUGUUCUACCUGUGAAACAUGUGCUUUUCCUCCUAAACCAGCAGGGACCUGCAUGAAUGCAAUAUUGUGCAAAUGCCCUGGGCCCCAGCUGUGGGAUGUGAUGCCUUUCACUUGAUUUGAUAAUCUGAUACAAUUUAGGCCAUUAAUAAGUGAAGUUGUUUGAGACCUUGGUUCAUUGCCUAAAAUCUGUGCA